GACGAAGGGGGCUAGCGUUGUUCGGAAUUACUGGGCGUAAAGCGAGUGUAGGUGGUUGUCGUAGUCAGGCGUGAAAGCCUUGAGCUCAACUCAAGAAAUGCGCUUGAUACUGGGCAGCUAGAGGACCGGAGAGGAUAGUGGAAUUCCCAGUGUAGUGGUGAAAUACGUAGAGAUUGGGAAGAACACCAGUGGCGAAGGCGGCUAUCUGGACGGUUUCUGACACUAAGACUCGAAAGCGUGGGGAGCAAACAGGG
rnacentral:rRNA from 1 species